AUGGACCACAAAGCUACUAACGCACGAAGUGAAUUGGAGCAGAUGUUAGUUGUUGAAACAGCGGAACCCAUGGCCCUGCCAUUAUCACUUAUGAAGGAAAUCACAGGUGAUUUUUCUGCCAACCAGGAGAUUGGACGCGGUGGAUUUGCAGUGGUUUAUAAGGGAAUUCUUGGCGAUAGGGCGGUCGCCGUGAAGAGGAUGUCCGAUGCUUUUAUGGAUGAAACAAAAUUUCACAGAGAGGUUCAAUGCCUGAUGCAGCUAAAACACAAAAAUGUCGUAAGAUUUCUGGGAUAUUGUGCUGACAGACAAGGAAAUAUGGCAAGGUACAACGGAAAAUUUGUCAUGGCAGAUGUCCACCAACGAUUGCUUUGCUUCGAGUAUAUACCUAAAGGGAGUCUUGAUAAGUAUGUCAUCGAUGCAUCUCGUGAGUGGGGAACAUGCUACACAAUAAUCAAAGGGAUUUGUGAGGGUUUACAGUACCUUCAUGAGAAUCGUAUUAUUCACUUGGAUCUAAAACCGGCCAACAUACUCCUCGACAAUAACAUGAUACCAAAAAUUACCGAUUUUGGCUUAUCAAGAUGCUUUGAUGAAAAUCAAAGUCAGCAGUUUACCAAAAGUAUAGCAGGAACACUGGGAUAUUUGGCACCAGAACAUCUCGAAGAGGGUGUAAUCACACGCAGCGCUGACUUGUAUAGUCUUGGUGUUAUUAUCAUAGAAAUACUGACCGGCCAGAAGAAGGGGCGUCCAGCUAUUGGGGAUGUAAUUGAAAGUUGGAGUGCUAGAUUGGAGAGAUCACAACGAGACACAGUAUGCGAACAAAUACAAGUAUGCUACGAGACAGCUUUAGAGUGCACAGACUACAAUCCAAACAAGAGACCAGCUAGUGCACAAGAUAUACUUGACAUGCUUCACGAAAUGGAACGUAUACAGGUAUGUUCAAAAUCCGAGUUGAUACAGAUACCACUCAGAUCCUUACAAAGAGACCAUUUUAGCUGGUAUUGUAUGAGCCUUGGUGCUCAAGUAAUAGGGCCACGCUAG
rnacentral:rRNA from 1 species